rnacentral:tRNA from 1 species
GGAAGGUGGCUCAGUGGUAGAACGCUUGCCUUGCAUGCAUGAGGCCCUGGGUUCGAUUCCUCAGCCCCA